rnacentral:rRNA from 1 species
AAUAGCUCACUGGUCGAGUCGGCCUGCGCGGAAGAUUUAACGGGGCUAAGCUAUACACCGAAGCUGCGGCAAUGUGCUAUGCACAUUGGGUAGGGGAGCGUUCUGUAAGCCGUUGAAGGUGUGUUGUAAAGCAUGCUGGAGGUAUCAGAAGUGCGAAUGCUGACAUGAGUAACGACAAAGGGAGUGAAAAACUCCCUCGC